rnacentral:lncRNA from 1 species
CGAGAGGUCUUAUUUUUGAAAAAUAAAUAUAAACUUAGGAUGUUUAGGUUAAUUAAUUUUUAAAAAUUUUAUUUUUAGUAACUACAUAAUGGGCAUUGGAGAUUUAAUUAGUUGAAUUAGAAAUUAUAUUUUAAUUAUUAUUUAUUUAAUGACUGAUUAUGAUUAAAUAUUUUAAUUAACAUCAUGAAUUAUAUUACUUAAUGAAUAGUAAUUCAAUUUCUCUUUUUUAAUAUUCACAAAGUUAAUUACUAAUCAAGGUAAUGAAAAAAGUGAAAUACAUACUAUGCUACUUAAAGGGUGUAGCCUACCUUUUCAUAAAAAAUUUAUUUUAUUUUUUCAGAAAAAAAAAAAUUAAAAAAUUAAAAAAUUAAAAACUGAGUAUAGCCGUGCGGCUAUACUAUUUUUAAUAUAAAAAGGAGGACAGGCGCCACGUGUCUACUUAAAAAGAAUAUAUAUAUUAAAAAAGCACAGAGUAUAGCCGUGCGGCUGUACCUUUUUAAAAAAAAAAAAAAAAGAGGAGGAGCCUGCAGCGAUUAGGCGCCACGUGUCCCAAAAAGGUAUAGCCGCCCGGCUAGACUAGUUUUUCAAAAAGAAAAAUAUAGUACAGCCGCACGGCUAUACUAUGUAAAUAUAGUAUUUAAUAAAUAAAUAAAAGAAAGCAUUAGCUUGUACUUUAUAGAUAUUAAUUUGCUAGUUUAAACAUAUCCAAAGUAGAUAUUAAUAGGCCACUAUACAAUAUUUUAAUAUAAUUUUUAUAACUUACAUUAUUCUUAUUCAAUAAUAUGUGAAAAUUAUUUGUAUAAUACGUGAACUUUGUGUGUCUUAAUGAAAAUUUUGUAAAAAGUAUGUGUAUUAAGCAUUACAAAUACGUACAAACAUGUACAAUACGACUAUUGUACGUUUGCUUUUUAAAAAAAGGAGAUGCGUAUAGAACACGAAUGUAUUAUUGGAAACUAUGUACGUACGUACGUACACACACACAUAUAUAUUACGACUAAUUAAAGUAAUUCAAAAAGGAUAAGAUAUUACUUAAUUACAUAUAUUAAAUGGAGGAAGUUGGCCAAAAGAAAAAGUAAAGAAACUAAUUUUAAAAUUUUAAAAUUUAUACUUUUCAAAAAAAAAAAAAAAAAAACACAUGAACACUUCUCCCGACGAAAUUUCGUCGGCAAAGAUCUAUGCCGACAAAAUUUGCCGGAUUAGGUUUCCCCCGACGAAAAUAUCUUUGCCGACGAAAUUUCGUCGCGAGAGGUCUUAUUUUUGAAAAAUAAAUAUAAACUUAGGAUGUUUAGGUUAAUUAAUUUUUAAAAAUUUUAUUUUUAGUAACUACAUAAUGGGCAUUGGAGAUUUAAUUAGUUGAAUUAGAAAUUAUAUUUUAAUUAUUAUUUAUUUAAUGACUGAUUAUGAUUAAAUAUUUUAAUUAACAUCAUGAAUUAUAUUACUUAAUGAAUAGUAAUUCAAUUUCUCUUUUUUAAUAUUCACAAAGUUAAUUACUAAUCAAGGUAAUGAAAAAAGUGAAAUACAUACUAUGCUACUUAAAGGGUGUAGCCUACCUUUUCAUAAAAAAUUUAUUUUAUUUUUUCAGAAAAAAAAAAAUUAAAAAAUUAAAAAAUUAAAAACUGAGUAUAGCCGUGCGGCUAUACUAUUUUUAAUAUAAAAAGGAGGACAGGCGCCACGUGUCUACUUAAAAAGAAUAUAUAUAUUAAAAAAGCACAGAGUAUAGCCGUGCGGCUGUACCUUUUUAAAAAAAAAAAAAAAAAGAGGAGGAGCCUGCAGCGAUUAGGCGCCACGUGUCCCAAAAAGGUAUAGCCGCCCGGCUAGACUAGUUUUUCAAAAAGAAAAAUAUAGUACAGCCGCACGGCUAUACUAUGUAAAUAUAGUAUUUAAUAAAUAAAUAAAAGAAAGCAUUAGCUUGUACUUUAUAGAUAUUAAUUUGCUAGUUUAAACAUAUCCAAAGUAGAUAUUAAUAGGCCACUAUACAAUAUUUUAAUAUAAUUUUUAUAACUUACAUUAUUCUUAUUCAAUAAUAUGUGAAAAUUAUUUGUAUAAUACGUGAACUUUGUGUGUCUUAAUGAAAAUUUUGUAAAAAGUAUGUGUAUUAAGCAUUACAAAUACGUACAAACAUGUACAAUACGACUAUUGUACGUUUGCUUUUUAAAAAAAGGAGAUGCGUAUAGAACACGAAUGUAUUAUUGGAAACUAUGUACGUACGUACGUACACACACACAUAUAUAUUACGACUAAUUAAAGUAAUUCAAAAAGGAUAAGAUAUUACUUAAUUACAUAUAUUAAAUGGAGGAAGUUGGCCAAAAGAAAAAGUAAAGAAACUAAUUUUAAAAUUUUAAAAUUUAUACUUUUCAAAAAAAAAAAAAAAAAAACACAUGAACACUUCUCCCG